rnacentral:rRNA from 1 species
GAAGGGUGCAAGCGUUACUCGGAAUUACUGGGCGUAAAGCGUGCGUAGGUGGUGGUUUAAGUCUGCUGUGAAAGCCCUGGGCUCAACCUGGGAACUGCAGUGGAUACUGGGUCACUAGAGUGUGGUAGAGGGAUGCGGAAUUUCCGGUGUAGCAGUGAAAUGCGUAGAGAUCGGAAGGAACAUCCGUGGCGAAGGCGGCAUCCUGGGCCAACACUGACACUGAGGCACGAAAGCGUGGGGAGCAAACAGGAUUAGAUACCCUGGUAGUCCACGCCUAAACGAUGCGAACUGGAUGUUGGGUGCAACUUGGCACCCAGUAUCGAAGCUAACGCGUUAAGUUCGCCGCCUGGGAGUACGGUCGCAAGACUG